rnacentral:sRNA from 1 species
CGUCGCUGCCGGCUCCGUGGGCCGGCAGACCGCGGCUCUCAGCCGCGGACCGAAGAGCAACAAGUGGCCGCCUUCCCCUCUCGACCCGAAGGCAGGCCUAGAAGAAAUUUCGGAAGUACGGGCCUCCAGGAAUGGAGGUCGCAUUCU